rnacentral:tRNA from 2 species
UGGUCGGGAUAGCUCAGCUGGUAGAGCAGAGGACUGAAA